UAUGGUCUGAUCUGGCUGAUGUAUAUUUUUCUCUUGUUUAUAAUAGACAUGGUAACAGGAUUAAGGCAAACAGGGAUAAAAAAAAAUGUUCUUUUGUCAUAGCAUGUAAAAAUAUGCUAUUUUAUAUUUAACAUAGAACUCAUUGCCAUAAAAUGUAUCUAACAGGCCUUUGGAUAGGUGUUUUUCAAUCCAAGGGCCUGAGUAUGGCUCCCUGGUGAAGAAGUCUCUUUAACCCUGCUGGAUGAGUGCUUGAAAGGACAAAUGAAUCAGCAGCUGCCCUGUGUGCACCCUUGCUCUUCCUGCCCAGCUGGCAGAGAGGGGAUACUGGGAGAAAGGUUUGGAAGAGGAGGAAGAUCAUCUCAGGUCCCAGGACCUGCGCAUUCGUGCAGUGUAGAGCUGAACUCAGCUAAGAACCAAACAACCCGCAACAGUCUGUGCUGUUCCUGAAGCAGAGAUGUGCUAAAUAUUAUUUCUGUUAAAUGAGAAGAGUGUUCUGGAGUGAGAAAGCUACAAAAGGCCUAUUGCCCAGGGGAAAAUGAGCAAUAAUUCAUUCUUCUGAUAUGUUACGGUUGAGGCUCUCUACCCCCAAACUGUAAUUAUAUGUUCCCUUUUGCCAUCUCUGACAUUUCUCUAGCCAAGCUGUGAACUGAUUAAGGAAACUACAAUGACAGAAAAUUAAAGCAGAAAAAUGAAAAGUGUCUUCUUCCAGUUUAACUCCAUGAACAAUCUCACUGUGGGGCUGGGUUUUUAGCCACUUAUUCCCUCCUGGAGCUGUGCAGAAACAUGGGAAUCCACAGCUAUAAGGAGCCAGCUGAAUCAAAAUGUUCAGUUAUCUGUAGCUUGCAAUCAAUUUAGUCAUGAGCCAAGAAUGUCCACAGAAUAUCUGCUACCUGCAUGACAUACUAGCUGUCACUAAAAGCAGGAAGCCACAGAAUCUGGAAGAUAAGGUAGAAGCUAGACCCUGUUUGACAUAUAAGAGCACAAGAAGUAGCAAGUAAAAAAAAAAACAACAAAACCCAUGGUUGGUUUAUAGGUUGCAAAUACUCAAAAUAUUACUAAAAGUGCACAUGCUUGUACCUAGACAUUGAUGUAGUCAGUGAUCCAUGAUAUAUUUGUGAUCACUAAUUUCUUCCUUAAUGGAAGGUGGCAAAGGAUAGGGGAAGAGAAAGGGGAAGGCAAAUAUUUAGUUACUUUGAAAUAAAAUCUGCCACUUUUCUUGUCUGAGUGACAGUUGCAGCUGUCUUCACCCUGAAUCUAUGGGGCAAACUACUCAGGACAUAUUCAGACAUGAUGGGUAGUGUCACGAUUGCAAGUAUUUCCCCUAACUUUUGUUUGAUAAAGCAUGUACAAGUUGAAGUGUGUAAAAGUCAUGGGCUCUGGCUACACUAUUUUCCUGAGUAAAUUUUUACAAAUAACACCAGCAUGUACUAUAUUAUGCUAUGCUAUUAUAUGAGAAUAGAAAUCAUAAUAAUCAUAAUCAUAAUACGAAGUGAUAACAGAAUUUGUAGAUA